rfam:Erysiphe necator strain c c-strain-scaffold_2747, whole genome shotgun sequence.
GUCUUCGUGGCUCAGUUGGUUAGAGCGUUGGUCUCAUAUCUCGAUAUGACUCUCGUGCACACAUGAGGGGGCAUCCAAAAGUCGCGAGUUCGAGUCUCGCCGAGGACA